rnacentral:rRNA from 1 species
GAUGAACGCUGGCGGCGUGCCUAAUACAUGCAAGUCGAGCGAACGGACGAGAAGCUUGCUUCUCUGAUGUUAGCGGCGGACGGGUGAGUAACACGUGGAUAACCUACCUAUAAGACUGGGAUAACUUCGGGAAACCGGAGCUAAUACCGGAUAAUAUUUUGAACCGCAUGGUUCAAAAGUGAAAGACGGUCUUGCUGUCACUUAUAGAUUGAUCCGCGCUGCAUUAGCUAGUUGGUAAGGUAACGGCUUACCAAGGCAACGAUGCAUAGCCGACCUGAGAGGGUGAUCGGACACACUGGAAGUGAGAAACGGUCCAGACUCCUACGGGAGGCAGCAGUAGGGAAUCUUCCGCAAUGGGCGAAAGCCUGACGGAGCAACGCCGCGUGAGUGAUGAAGGUCUUCGGAUCGUAAAACGCUGUUAUUAGGGAAGAACAUAUGUGUAAGUAACUGUGCACAUCUUGACGGUACCUAAUCAGAAAGCCACGGCUAACUACGUG